rnacentral:rRNA from 9 species
GGUUGACCUCGGAUCAGGUAGGGAUACCCGCU